GACGAACGCUGGCGGCAUGCUUAACACAUGCCAGUCGAACGGAAAGGCCCUGCUUUUGUGGGGUGCUCGAGUGGCGAACGGGUGAGUAACACGUGAGUAACCUGCCCUUGACUUUGGGAUAACUUCAGGAAACUGGGGCUAAUACCGGAUAGGAGCUCCUGCUGCAUGGUGGGGGUUGGAAAGUUUCGGCGGUUGGGGAUGGACUCGCGGCUUAUCAGCUUGUUGGUGGGGUAGUGGCUUACCAAGGCUUUGACGGGUAGCCGGCCUGAGAGGGUGACCGGCCACAUUGGGACUGAGAUACGGCCCAGACUCCUACGGGAGGCAGCAGUGGGGAAUAUUGCACAAUGGGCGGAAGCCUGACGCAGCAACGCCGCGUGCGGGAUGACGGCCUUCGGGUUGUAAACCGCUUUCGCCUGUGACGAAGCGUGAGUGACGGUAAUGGGUAAAGAAGCACCGGCUAACUACGUG
rnacentral:rRNA from 1 species